GGGCUUUUAAUCGGCCGACCGCCGCUCUAUAUCACAAGCGUCAUCGGGGGAAUUCUCUCCUGGUGACUAUGGCGAUAAACCGUGGCGUGUCAUAGACACAGCGGACCCGGGGGCAGUACCCGGCGACUCCACCACCGCCCUCUUCGCAAGAGGGGGACGAUGACGGGGUCGAACUAGGAUCGACG
rnacentral:tmRNA from 1 species